ACGGAGGGUGCGAGCGUUGUCCGGAAUCACUGGGCGUAAAGGGCGCGUAGGUGGCUCAUUAAGUGGCUGGUGAAAUCCCACGGCUUAACCGUGGAACUGCUUGGUAUACUGGCGGUCUUGAGCCAGCUAGGGGCUACCGGAACAAAUGGUGGAGCGGUGAAAUGCGUAGAUAUCAUUUGGAACGCCAAUGGUGAAAACAGGUAGCUGGGGCUGUGCUGACACUGAGACACGAAAGCCAGGGGAGCAAACGGGA
rnacentral:rRNA from 1 species